CUCAUAGUGUUUUAUUUCAUUAUCAAUAUCCAAUUUUUCCAUAAAUUUGCAUACGCUAUGUCUUCUAGCUUCUUCUAUAUUUGAAUUAGAACUUGAUACUUCUAGGUCAUCUAAACUUCUUUCUUUAUAAUUAACAAACCUGAUACUAGUUUUGCCUUUACUAUUAUCAUAAUUUACAUAAUUUUUAGGUUGUUUUAAAAUCUUUGGUUCUAUUAAAGCACUUAUAUUCCAU
rnacentral:lncRNA from 1 species